rnacentral:tRNA from 1 species
GCGCCGGUAGUGCACCUGGUAGCACGCCCCGCCUCCGGUGGGGAGGAGUCCGUUCGAGUCGGACCCGGCGCU